AUUGAACGCUGGCGGCAUGCCUUACACAUGCAAGUCGAACGGUAACGCGGGGCAACCUGGCGACGAGUGGCGAACGGGUGAGUAAUGUAUCGGAACGUGCCCAGUUGUGGGGGAUAACUGCUCGAAAGAGCAGCUAAUACCGCAUACGACCUGAGGGUGAAAGCGGGGGAUCGCAAGACCUCGCGCAAUUGGAGCGGCCGAUAUCAGAUUAGGCAGUUGGGGGGGUAAAGGCUCACCAAGCCAACGAUCUGUAGCUGGUCUGAGAGGACGACCCGACACCCUGGUACUGAGACACAGCCCAGACUCCCACGGGAGGCAGCAGUGGGGAAUUUUGGACAAUGGACGCAAGUCUGAUCCUGCCAUGCCGCGUGCGGGAAGAAGGCCUUCGGGUUGUAAACCGCUUUUGUCAGAGAAGAAACGCUCUGGGUUAAUACCUCGGGGUAAUGACGGUACCUGAAGAAUAAGCACCGGCUAACUACGUGCCAGCCGCCGCCGUAAUAC
rnacentral:rRNA from 1 species